AUCAAAUGUUAUGAACAUAUAAUAAAAACUCUGUUUCUUAUCAGCUUAAUAUCUGAUACGAGUCCUAUUUGGACUCAAGAUAUUAAACUAAUUUUUGCCACUUGGCGCCGUGAAGGGGCUUGCUCCUCCGGCGCCGCGGGUUGUCCCGGCGUUGCACUGCUGCCGGGUUCGGCCCAAGACCC
rnacentral:snRNA from 1 species